rnacentral:sRNA from 1 species
AACGAUAAAAGUCAUUCCCGAUUGGUUC